GCUUGUUGGUGGGGUAAAGGCCUACCAAGGCGAUGAUCGAUAGCUGGUCUGAGAGGAUGAUCAGCCACACUGGGACUGAGACACGGCCCAGACUCCUACGGGAGGCAGCAGUGGGGAAUAUUGGACAAUGGGCGAAAGCCUGAUCCAGCAAUGCCGCGUGUGUGAAGAAGGUCUUCGGAUUGUAAAGCACUUUCGACGGGGACGAUGAUGACGGUACCCGUAGAAGAAGCCCCGGCUAACUUCGUGCCAGCAGCCGCGGUAAUACGAAGGGGGCUAGCGUUGCUCGGAAUGACUGGGCGUAAAGGGCGCGUAGGCGGUUCACACAGUCAGAUGUGAAAUUCCAGGGCUUAACCUUGGGGCUGCAUUUGAUACGUGUAGACUAGAGUGUGAGAGAGGGUUGUGGAAUUCCCAGUGUAGAGGUGAAAUUCGUAGAUAUUGGGAAGAACACCGGUGGCGAAGGCGGCAACCUG
rnacentral:rRNA from 1 species